UCUUGUAAAGUGUUGGUCGGGACGGCUUGUGCAACAUGGACAUCCACGAUCAGCACUCAGCGACGUAUAAUAGCUAAGAUUUUUACAUGCAUUUGAUAAGGACCUAAUUAAAAGCCAAAAAAUUCAUUUGUUCAUUGAAUAAUUCCUGAAGCUACAUACACUCAUCUUUGUAAAGAAAAUUCAUUACUCUCUUCAAGACACAGGUUUGCUUCUUAUUGGCUAGUCCACCAUCUUUUUGAAGACAGUGGAAGGGGCAACUUGUAUUAUUUUCUUCUUACCAAAAAAUGACGAAAACGAUAUGUGACCCAGAGAACAACCAAAAUAAUAAUCAACCAAAUGACAAAUUUAAGUGCAGUAAAUGUGCUAUAGAAUUCAACUAUAAAAUGAAUUGGACCAACACAAUCUCUCUACUUGUACACAUACUAAAGACCCAGGACAAUAAAGCAUUUUUCUAGGUACAUUUUUUAACUAUUUUAAAUAAUAUUCAGUUUUAUAUUUU